UACGUAGGCAGCGAGCGUUGUUCGGAGUUACUGGGCGUAAAGAGUGCGUAGGCGGUUGGCUAAGUUUGGUGUGAAAUCUCCCGGCUCAACUGGGAGGGUGCGCCGAAAACUGGCUGGCUGGAGUGUGGGAGAGGCUAGCGGAAUUCCUGGUGUAGCGGUGAAAUGCGUAGAUAUCAGGAGGAACACCGGUGGUGUAGACGGCUUUCUGGACCGUAACUGACGCUGAGACACGAAAGCGUGGGUAGCAAACAGG
rnacentral:rRNA from 1 species